rnacentral:rRNA from 1 species
CCUACGGGCGGCAGCAGUGAGGAAUAUUGGUCAAUGGGCGAGAGCCUGAACCAGCCAAGUCGCGUGAGGGAGUACUGCCCUAUGGGUUGUAAACCUCUUUUGUCGGGGAGCAAAAGCCGGACGUGUCCGGCUGUGAGAGUACCCGAAGAAAAAGCAUCGGCUAACUCCGUGCCAGCAGCCGCGGUAAUCCGGAGGAUGCGAGCGUUAUCCGGAUUUAUUGGGUUUAAAGGGUGCGCAGGCGGAUUUUUAAGUCAGCGGUAAAAUCGUGGGGCUCAACCCCAUCCAGCCGUUGAAACUGGGGAUCUAGAGUGUGCGAGAGGUAUGCGGAAUGCGUGGUGUAGCGGUGAAAUGCAUAGAUAUCACGCAGAACCCCGAUUGCGAAGGCAGCAUACCGGUGCACAACUGACGCUCAGGCACGAAAGCGUGGGUAUCGAACAGGAUUAGAUACUCUUGUAGUC